rnacentral:rRNA from 1 species
AGGACGAACGCUGGCGGCGUGCUUAACACAUGCAAGUCGAACGGAAAGGCCCUUUCGGGGGUGCUCGAGUGGCGAACGGGUGAGUAACACGUGGGUGAUCUGCCCUGCACUUUGGGAUAAGCCUGGGAAACUGGGUCUAAUACCGAAUACACCUUGCUGGCUGCAUGGCUGGUGGGGAAAGCUUUUGCGGUGUGGGAUGGGCCCGCGGCCUAUCAGCUUGUUGGUGGGGUGAUGGCCUACCAAGGCGACGACGGGUAGCCGGCCUGAGAGGGUGUCCGGCCACACUGGGACUGAGAUACGGCCCAGACUCCUACGGGAGGCAGCAGUGGGGAAUAUUGCACAAUGGGCGCAAGCCUGAUGCAGCGACGCCGCGUGAGGGAUGACGGCCUUCGGGUUGUAAACCUCUUUCAGUAUCGACGAAGCGCAAGUGACGGUAGGUACAGAAGAAGCACCGGCCAACUACGUGCCAGCAGCCGC